GAACCCUCAAUCUUUUGUGACAAUCGAACUCGGAGUGUUCGUCAACCAAAACAGUCGAAACACAAGGAGAAGCCACAGACUACCGAAAGUCAUGUUGAAGAAGGUGUUGCUGGGGAUAGUGUUGGUGACUUUCAACUUCCAAAUUUUGAGUCUAUAUUUAAUGAUACUGACGACUACAAGUUUGAUCGACAUAU